UCCUGGCUAGCUCAAACGGUAGAGCGCUCCUUUGGAAAUGGAGAGGUCCCUGGUUUAAUACCAGGUCCAGGUG
rnacentral:tRNA from 2 species